AUAUUAAUGUGAAUUUGCAGUGAUUGUUGUAUUGUAUGAAUGACUUUGUCUUACAACCCUCUACAGAUGAAGAGCAGAAAAGAUGGAGGCAAGAGACAAUGACAACACAGCAGCUGGAGGAGGAGGAGGAGAGUCUGAAACUGAAUCUGUGACACCAAAUGACAAAGGUCUUUUAACAUUUUGUAAAUGGUAUUUCAUAAACUAGAAGAGUUAGCUAACCAAAUAUGUUGAUUUAUGCUGAUCCUGUAUAUUUUUUCUUUUUCUUACAUGGCAGUAGAUAAGAUGGAGGAGAGUGCAGCCAAGUUUGAUCCAGUGAAUGAACCAGGUGAAGCUCAACACUCAGAGAAGAAUGAUGAAAGCACAGGAGGAGAGUCUGAAAUGAAGUCUGUACCAUCCACAACCAGUGAGAAAGGUAACAUUAACCAAGAACUGAUUGUACAGUCACAUUGAUUUUAUAGAUUAUAUUUCAGUGGAGUUUUUAACAGAAUUAGAUUAUUUACUUUUAUUUUGUCAGUGCAUUGACAGAGUGCUGUCUGUCUACCUUUUACAGUGUUGUUUCAGUGAU
rnacentral:lncRNA from 1 species